AUUGAACGCUGGCGGCAGGCCUAACACAUGCAAGUCGAACGAGUGGCGGACGGGUGAGUAAUGUCUGGGAAACUGCCCGCUGGAGGGGGAUAACUACUGGAAACGGUAGCUAAUACCGCAUACCAUCGGAUGUGCCCAGAUGGGAUUAGCUAGUAGGUGGGGUAACGGCUCACCUAGGCGACGAUCCCUAGCUGGUCUGAGAGGAUGACCGGCGACACGGGAACGGAGACACGGUCCAGACUCCUAAGGGAGGCAGCAGUGGGGUAUAUUGCGCAAUGGGCGGAAGCCUGGUGCAGCCGUGCCGCGUGUAUUAAGAAGGCGUUCGGGUGGUAAAGUACGUUCAGGGGGGGGGCGUUACUCGCAGAAGAAGCACCGGCUAACUCCGUGCCAGCAGCCGCGGUAAUAC
rnacentral:rRNA from 1 species